rnacentral:misc_RNA from 1 species
AAAAAAAAAAAUAAAAUUAAAAAAGAAAAAACUGGACCAUUGGAUUUGAACCGGAACAAAUCGAACCAGAACUAGAAGCUUGGGGGAUUACAAUUCUGGUUCAGGUUUACCCUUUGGGUGAACUGGAACUGGCAGUUCCGAGCCAGUUCGAAUCAGAAUCGGCCCAGUGUCCAGGUCUAAUCCAGACAACAGAUUUUCAAACUUGACUUUAAA